UGCUCCUUAGUUCAGUGGUUCAGAAUAGUUCCCUUACAAGGAAAAGGUCAUAGGUUCGAGUCCUAUAGGAGCAAC
rnacentral:tRNA from 2 species